CACUCUUCCAACCUUCAAACAUGACCCUAAAAUCUAACCCGACUUUUGACGACGACGUCGACGACACCAAUUGGACAAAACCAUAGACCCAUAGAAAAAUACCGUCCCUCUUCACUCUUGAUCGUCUUUCUUCUCUUCCUUGGCAGCAGGUGCCUUUUCUUCUGCCUUCUCCUCAGCAGGUGAUUCUUCUUUUACUGCAUCGCUCUUCUUAGCUGCAGCAGGUGCCUCUGCCUCAGACUUCUCCCCAACACUCAAUUUAUCGAGAAGCCCAGCAGCUUCAGUGGCUUCUUUGCUUUCUUCUUCAGGACUCUGGGAUUCAGCAACUUCUUGAAACUUCUCCAUGAACAAUUUGUUAUCUGAUAAAGAAAAAAACAAUCAAACAUCGAUAAGCUACUUGCGUGAUGAUGGUUGGGACCUUGUACCAAGAUCUGCUAUAAACACAUUUAACGCUUGACGAGAGAUGAAAAUGAGGAAAAUGAAACUGAAUGGAUGAUGCUGCAGCGAAAGAACCACUGCAAAUGCAUCAUGGCUAUAGGAAAAGUUUACAUUGGAUCCUUUCAGAAGGUAGACAUCUCCCAAAGCUCAUACUGAAUAAUACAAUAUUAUUAACGCAGUACCAAAUAAUUGAGAUGGUAGGAAGAAUCUACUCCCAGAAAUAAUGCUACAGAAAAAUGAUUCAUUCAAAUCAAUACACAUGCAUGUCAGAGAAAGUAUGGCAGAGGAUGUCAUCUCCUUCUUAUUAUAUGCUUAAGAAAAAUAAUGCUCUAGAUCUAUGGUUCUAUACAUGCUUAAGAGAAAUAAUACAACUUGUGUUGCAAUUUAAAUCAAGAUCCGUAGGCAACAGAUCUGCUAAUUUAUGGUUUCCUCUAUAUCUUGACAACGCUCCUGAAAGCUAAGAUUUAUUUACUCAUAAAGAGAAACACCUAGGACCUUGAAGUCUCAGAAACUGAUUAGCCUAUAUACUUUAUACAGGCAGCACCACUACAUAGAAGCCUUUGAAUUGGUGCCGACUUUUCCUAAUAUAAACUCAAGUCAAAUCAAAGACCAUAACUCUCUCUAAUCAACGAAAAACUCAAAUCUAUUUUGUUCACUCUGUUAUUCCCAAAUAUUCAUAUUCCCACGUUCCAUAGUACAUAAGGGAACCUAAUUCACCACGACUAAGUGCACUACUGAGAGAUAUUCAGUAAAACAUAUUUUGGUCCAACACUGACUUCAAAAGCUCUAAAGUUCAUAACCUCUUCAAUUUGCAAGCAACAUUAGUGCAAGGAAGCCAAAAAGUACAAAUUCUUACACAGGUUUCAACAUGCAGGUAAAGUUUCUAAACGGUAAAAAUGUGUGCUUUACAGCCUAAUUGGAACCCAUCUCCGUAAGUUUUAAGCUUAGUUAGAAUGUACAAUUCCUCAUUGCAGUGAGGUGAUCAUAGCUUUACAAAAAAGAAAAAGGAAAAAAACCCACUUUAAAUAUAUGAUUAACACCAACACAUUCUGUAAAAGAGACAUUUUCAUUCAAGUAUCAGCAAACACGAGAAGAAACCAAAAACAACAUCCAUACAAAAGGGUUAGACCUAAACUAUUAACAUCCAAUAAAAAGAGAGCAAGUCAUGGUGUCCCACAUAUACACAUGUCCAACUAGUACAUCUUUUCAAAGUUAGUAAUUUCAAUGUUUAAAUGUGGGUUUUGUAUUGGUUACUUUUUUUUGUCAGCAAUGUAUUAGCUACUUACUGGAAAGCAUCAAUUGGUACACUCUCAAGUCAUAGCAAUUACAUAAAUAAAUUAACUCAAAUGUACAUCAUCAAAUAAUACAUAAUACAGAUAUACAUAUACGUAUUAUGACUGAAUCUAGUCAGACCACUCAUCAGAAACAACUUCAAAUCAAAUUGUGAUAUCAAUUGCAUCCCUCUUUAAAGCCACUAUCAAACAUUCAACUCUAAACAUUAAAAAACAAUAUCUUAUUGAAUCGGACAAAGGUAAUUAGAAGAAUCGAAAAAUUAUUAAAUUCGGAUAUUUCAUGAGUUCAAAAUAGCUACAGAUUACAUACAUAGACAAAAGUAAGAGACAGUACCAAGUAUACUACCAUCUAAUAUCAAGCAAAACAAAAAAACAAGAUUACGAAAAGAUAAACUUAUAAAGUAGACUAAACAAAUUAACUCACUUUCAAUUGAAGC
rnacentral:lncRNA from 1 species